rnacentral:rRNA from 1 species
AGUGAACGCUGGCGGUAGGCCUAACACAUGCAAGUCGAACGGCAGCACAGUAAGAGCUUGCUCUUACGGGUGGCGAGUGGCGGACGGGUGAGGAAUACAUCGGACUCUACUUUUUCGUGGGGGAUAACGUAGGGAAACUUACGCUAAUACCGCAUACGACCUACGGGUGAAAGCAGGGGAUCUUCGGACCUUGCGCGAUUGAAUGAGCCGAUGUCGGAUUAGCUAGUUGGCGGGGUAAAGGCCCAGCAAGGCGACGAUCCGUAGCUGGUCUGGGAGGAUGAUCAGCCACACUGGAACUGAGACACGGUCCAGACUCCUACGGGAGGCAGCAGUGGGGAAUAGUGGACAGUGGGGGCAAGCCUGGUCCAGCCAUACCGCGUGGGUGAAGAAGGCCUUCGGGUUGUAAAGCCCUUUUGUUGGGAAAGAAAAGCAGCAGGUUAAUACCCCGCUGUUCUGACGGUACCCAAAGAAUAAGCACCGGCUAACUACGUG